rnacentral:lncRNA from 1 species
ACUAGGACCACAGUUUUCUUUGUAAUAGAUGGUCCUACUAGUUACAAUGUGUUACUAGGAAGAGAUUGGAUACACGGAAGUCACUGUAUACCCUCAUCGCUCCAUCAAUGCCUGAUUUUUUGGAAUAACAAAGGCUAAGCAGAGGUGGUACAGGCCGAUCAUAGGCCUUUUGUCGCAGAAGCAAACUCGGUGGAAAAGUUCAUGUACGAAGGAAACUAUGGACCUGUCAGGGUAGUACAAGAUGGGGAAGAAACUCAAGUUGUCUCACAAAGCGAAGAGCCAUUUUCAGUGGACGCACUCACUGAAAUGUUCAGACAGAUGAGGCCAAAUAUAGUGGCCCUAGAAGAGCCAGUAAUUGGCAAAAGAAUAAUCAAGGAGUCUUGAAUGGAUUCUAAGUUACAAAAGCAAAUGACCGAUAUUCAGGCCUUCAAAACCAGACUAAUGGCUUUCAAUAAGGAAUGCAAUGAUAAGGCGAAAGAAGAGACAGCCCUGAAAGCGCUGAAGGACAAAUUAGCAGUAUUCGAGUUAGAACAAAGCAUUGGUCAAGAAGUCAACAAGGUGGACUGUUUAGAAGAAGUACUUACAAGGGAACUGGACGACGAAGUGAUGCGGAUCAUCAAACCUGGAUACGCUCAAGUACAAGACCCUCUGAUCAAAGUAAAUAUUGGCAAUGAAGGAGAAGAUCGUCCAACAUUCAUCAGCCAGAUGCUCAAUCAAGAGGUUAGUGAUAAAUUAAUCGCUUUGUUAAAGGAGUACAAAGAUUGUUUUGCUUGGGAAUAUGAACAAAUGCUUGAUUUAGAUAGAGACUUGGUGGAACAUAGGUUACCAACUAAGCCUAAUUUUAAACCUCAUAGGCAGCCUCCUAGACGUUUUGCUCCUAAUGUACUCCCUGAGAUUAAGAAAGAGAUAGAGCGAUUAUUGAAAACAAGUUUUAUAAGAACAGCCAGAUA